rnacentral:rRNA from 1 species
CGUGUAGGCGGCCUUUUAAGUCAGACGUGAAAUCCAUGGGCUUAACCCAUGAAUUGCGUUUGAAACUGGAGGGCUUGAGGAUCGGAGAGGGCAGUGGAAUUCCCAGUGUAGCGGUGAAAUGCGUAGAUAUUGGGAGGAACACCAGUGGCGAAGGCGACUGCCUGGACGACACCUGACGCUGAGGCGCGAAAGCUAGGGGAGCAAACGGGAUUAGAUACCCCCGGUAGUCCUAGCCGUAAACGAUGGGUACUAGGUGUGGGAGGUAUCGACCCCUUCCGUGCCGCAGUUAACACAAUAAGUACCCCGCCUGGGGAGUACGGCCGCAAGGUUGAA